rnacentral:lncRNA from 1 species
ACCAAAAUCCAAUAGUGGCUUGUUAUAUAUUGUUUUUAAGAUAAGUGCCAAAUGGCUAUAGAGAAAAGUAAACCUAGUGAAACUCAAAUUGUGCCUGAAAGCAAAUUUUGAAGUGUUAAAAUUCCCAUUUGUUCGGAUCUUGGUUUGGGCCAUAUUUGUUUUUUUUAUUACUUUUGGGACAGAAGUUAAUAAAGCAUGUUAUAACAUUAUAUCAGAUGGGUCUUUAUUCUAUUGAAAAUUUGCAUUUUAAGGCCUGCUACAGUCUUGUGAUUAGGUUAGACACUCACUAGAAUAAGUUUGUAGUUUUGGCAUGUGAUGUUGACACUUCUCUCUCUUUGGGCAACACUCCAUUUGAUUGCUAUUGCCCAAAAAUUUACAAAUUUAAAAUGACUCAUGAUUCAACUGGUAAAUACCCAUGCAAGUGACCCAAUACUAGUAAAUAUAGUAACACAAGGUAAUUCAGUAUAUAUGAGUGACAACUUUAUAAUGACUUGGGCUACCUUUAAUCUGAGUUAAGUUCUAGGGAGAAGCUCGGAAGUUAUGGGUUUAUUCCUAUAUGGGGCCACUCGCAUGGAUUAUUUGCGGAUGUCAAAUCUCAAACAUGAAAAUAUGCGUGUUAAGACUAGACUCUCAUAUUAGUUAAGUUUGGAUGGUUCCCUCUUUAUGCCUAGUCUGGCUGAUGUUACACCCAAUUAUUUUAAUCAGAGUUUUAAGUUUUAAUCAUGCAAUUAAGCUGUUAAAUAGCUUAUAACAGUUUUGACUAUAGGGUUGUUCAAAUCCAAAAAUAAAAUCAAAAGCCGAUUAAAAAAUAAAAUCAAAAACCAAUCCAAAGUAAACAUGUAUACUGGAAAAAGAAUCUGCUUAUAAUCCACGAUCUUUCCACCAACCAAACUAAAAUCAUCAUAUAUGGACCAUUUGGUGUAAAAAAAACAGUUUUUAAUUUUAAUAUAUAGGUGCUAAAGAUGGAAUGAAUAUACCUCGUGCAUCUUAUGCUUCAAUUCGCUUCAUGUACGAAGGAAGAUACAGUGUCCUGUGUCCAUCAAAAAAUAAAAAUAAUAGAAGAUACAUUUAUUAUAAGAUCAGAAAUUGACCAUUUGAUGAUACUAAAAUGCCUGCAACAGUGCAGCCCAUGUUCAUGCACAUGUCCUACGUCCGUACGUGAGGACUUUUGUUGGGGUCGUAUAGCCAUGAAACUAAUAAAGUAAGAUACUGUUGCUCAUCCUCAAAAGGGUGAGGUUUAUAUAAUUAUUCUUAGUAUGUUUUGUAAUACUUGGUAGAGAAUAAAUUUGACCCAAAAAGAACUAAUUUGAGCUACAUUGAAAUAUUUGGAGACCAUUUUAUGCAUUUUCUUUUUUAGAUGACUAAAUUGGUAAGGUAAAUAAAUACGAGACUAAAAUGAGUAUUUACUCUUAAAGUAUACACCAUUAUUCUUCAAAGAUUUUGAGAUCUUAAUAUGAUAUUCUAGUGCAAAACAUUGACGUUAUUAAGGUUGGCAACAGUGGAGAAGGCAAAGAGAGGAAAAAGAAAGGAAGAAUGGUAACUAGAAACAAAUGAAAUAAGAAGAAAGGGCCCAACGAUUAGUACAAACAUGUUACUGAGUUGACAAAAGCAAAUGAAAACAAAAAAACACCAGACACGCCGCUAUUACCGCUCACUCCACUUUCACGUGAUGUAAUCUCUUUCUAUCUCAAUUACUUUUAUCAAUCAAUCAAUGUUAAAAAAUAAAGUAAAUUAACUUUCACUAAAAAAUAAUUUCUCAGAAAUUUUAAUCAGAUUAUUUUUUAUUGGUGUCAAAAGAGAAUGAUAUAUAAGAAUUAUAUGUGGAAUUACUUUACUAUUCCCUGCUACCCCUUUUCAACGCCUUAAACAACGGAAUUAAUUCUAUUGCCCUUACAUGUUUUGGUCUUCUUAUUCCUAUAAAUAUCCAUGCAAUUUGUUAACAAGAGAUAUAAUUAAGAUUUAAACAUUCAUUCUCUUUUGCCUUUUUAUUUUCCUCUGCAAGUUAAGUGAGUCCUUCAUAUCUAUCAUAGUAAUGGCAGUACUUUCAUACACCACCUUCAUUGUCCUCUCUUUGCUUCUUUUGGUUACAUUCUCUAAUGUGGCUGAGGUACAUAACAACAAAUAUACAUAAACACACUUUACUUUAAUUUCCUCAAUUAUGCUUGCUUCUCUAUAAAUUUGCAAUACACAAUUAAUUGUUCUACCUCAAGUAAAAUUGUGUUUCUGUUUAAUCCUAUUAUUACAGGUUUAUGGUAGUGCAAAUCUUCGUCCUUCAGGUAUAUACAUUAAGAAACUUUGAAUUUACAAAACUCUCAAUUUUGCAUAGAAGUAACCAACAUUUUAAUGUUAAUUUCAUAGGCUCUUUAUAAUGUUAGCUAAUAAUAGUGUGAAACAAUUAUAUGUACAGAUUGUAAACCAAAGUGUAGUUAUCGUUGUUCAGCAACUUCACAUAAGAAGCCAUGCAUGUUUUUCUGCCAAAAGUGUUGUGCUACAUGUCUCUGUGUUCCUCCUGGUACAUAUGGCAACAAGCAAACUUGCCCUUGCUACAAUAGCUGGAAGACAAAGGAAGGAGCACCCAAAUGCCCUUAGUUAAUAGUACUCUUUUUUCUUCUUCAUAUAUAACUAUAUAAAAGUAAGCAAUGUAAUCUUAUAAUUCUUCUAUAACUUUUUUCUCUGCAUAAAUAUAAGCAAUUGUUACUGAUUAGUAGUAGAACUGUGGAAGGGCACAUUUUGUUUUGUACCCUUCAGAGGGAGAAUAUUUUUACCUAAUAUAAGUAUCUUUGGUGCUACGAUUAUAGUCACCUAGCUUAUGAAAUUUAGAUGCAAAUUUAUGUUUUUGAUUGAUAAUGAUUUAUAAACAGUGCAUGUGUGUAUGAAUGUGCUGAAGAAAAAUAGAACAUCUAUAUCAGACUUAGAUGUUUGUACCGGAUGAUUGGAGCCUUACGAGUCAUUAUAGGUUGACAGAGAUCACUUGUAUCCAAUAAUGUCUCAUUUUUUAUCUCGGAUUAAUUAUAAUAUUACUUUUUGUCAAGUAUUUGGACAUAAUGCAUGUUACUUGGAUACUAAUGAGCACUAAGUUAGUCAAAUAAUAAGUAAAUUUUUGUUACUUAAUAGAGUACCAGCAAAGGAUUUUUUUUGCAUGAGUCAGAAAUAUGUUAUUAAUGAAAAAUUAUUAGAAAGAAAGAAAAUGAGUUGUGUAUCGACAAACUAACUCUCUUUUUAACAUGGUUAGUAUAUCUAUUAACACUUAUUAAUUACUGAAUAAAAAUCAUCAAUAAAAAUUAUAUAUAAUUGGUGAGAGUAUUGAAGUGUUGAUGAUCACCUCAUUUUCACUUUAGCUUUGCUUGUUUUGAAAUUGGCUUACUCCCCUUAUGCUCAGGGUGAAUGGCUUUUGCCUACAAUGUGAUGACAGAUUCAAUUUGUCUUAGUCGUCAACAUAGCGAAAGCAAAAAUAGGAGGAACAACAGAAACCAGGGAUGCUUGCUAUGGCCAAUUUACAUUGGUUUUGAUGUGUGUUCUCUCGAGUUUUAGGUUAAUUUGAGAAUUCACUUUCACCAAAAUCCAAUAGUGGCUUGUUAUAUAUUGUUUUUAAGAUAAGUGCCAAAUGGCUAUAGAGAAAAGUAAACCUAGUGAAACUCAAAUUGUGCCUGAAAGCAAAUUUUGAAGUGUUAAAAUUCCCAUUUGUUCGGAUCUUGGUUUGGGCCAUAUUUGUUUUUUUUAUUACUUUUGGGACAGAAGUUAAUAAAGCAUGUUAUAACAUUAUAUCAGAUGGGUCUUUAUUCUAUUGAAAAUUUGCAUUUUAAGGCC